GGGCCCGCACAAGCGGUGGAGUAUGUGGUUUAAUUCGAUGCAACGCGAAGAACCUUACCAGGGUUUAAAUGCAGAACGACAGGGGUGGAAACACCCCCUUCUUCGGACGGACUGCAAGGUGCUGCAUGGUUGUCGUCAGCUCGUGCUGUGAAGUGUCGGGUUAAGUCCCAUAACGAGCGCAACCCCCCAUUUCUAGUUGCCAGCGGUUCGGCCGGGGACUCUAGAGAAACUGCCAGCGUAAGCUGUGAGGAAGGUGGGGAUGACGUCAAAUCAUCACGGCCCUUACAUCCUGGGCCACACACGUGCUACAAUGGUAGGGACAACAGGUUGCCAACCCGCGAGGGUGAGCCAAUCCCAAAACCCUAUCUCAGUUCGGAUCGGAGUCUGCAACUCGACUCCGUGAAGUUGGAAUCGCUAGUAAUCGCGGAUC
rnacentral:rRNA from 1 species